UGAAUUCGUAGUCUGAUUACACAAAAAUUAAACAAAGGCACCCUAAUACAUAAGACUUGAGCAGUCAAAAUGGUUCUUGGUGAAAAACCAAAUGUAACUAAUUUCAUUCACUGUGCAUCUAGAAGUCUCUGUUGCAAACAUGAUUUCAAACUUGUUAAGUCAUUAUGCAUCAAGUACAAGAAAGUGCAGUCAAACUUGAAUUUAUGUUUAUGGUUAGAAACUGAUGUACAUUAAAAAGUGUUACAGUUUUGUAUGUUGCAAAACCAUUUAAAUCGCAUCAAAAGAUUACUACUUGACUCAUCUGAAUUACUUUUAUCCUCCAUGUAGGUAUAUUUUGGUGCUUUGGUGCUAUUUUGGUCCCUAUUCCCUUUUCGUGCAUUGUAUAGACCAACAAAUAUUACAGAUUAAGAUGUGUGCCACUCUUGCUGACUUUGAGAAGACUAGUAACUUGUGACACCUCGUUUGAUCCUGUUUGCAUCUUUGGCUAUAUUCAUGGUGAGAACUGGUUAAUCCAUACACAAGUUUUUAUUCACACAAGUCAAUCCAGACACUGGUUGGGGUAGAGACAAUUUGGCAUCUGUGGAUACCCAGAGUAAACCCACGCUGACACAGGGAUAACAUGCAAACUCCACAAAAAAAGGCCACCUGACCUAGCCGGGGCUCAAACCGGGGACCUUCUUGCUGUGCCUUUUACUAUCAGGAGAACAUCAAGCUUUAUGUGCCUCAUUCUGGAGGCCACUGUAUUUGAGAACACUGAAACUGAGAACACUUUUAAUAUCAGACUUUACACGGACACUAAAUGAAUUUGUGAUUUUCAGUUUACCUUUAGAAACAUUAGUGGCCCUCAAUUACUAUACAUUUAAUUGUAUCAUGACAAUGGCCUCUGAAAAUAACAUACUGUUAGGUUGAAGGACAUGGCACUUUGUGUCUUUGCCAGUGCUUGCAUAUUCUUCUCACUGCCUUUUCUACACUUAGCUCUCCAGAUAUUAAGGAUUAUACAUUAAUCUAUACAUUCAUUUGGUCCAGGUGAUUCUCAGGGACAAUGGAUUAAACAAUGGAUGAUCAGCCUGAAAGCCAAAAGGGUGUUCAGCCAACGUGUCUCACUGGACUUGCUGCAUUGUUUUCUUUGUAUUACAUCUUCAACUUGCAAAAAGUGAAAGCAGCAUCCACACUGGAAGUCCUUCAAAGACGCUUCAUUAAAAUCAAACCGGGAAACAAGGGUGCAAAGGGAAAGUGACCUCUAAAACAGGAAAACUGCAAAAGAAGACCAUCAACAGUCAGUCUCAAACUAUCAAAUCUUUUUAAAAGACUUAUGUACUUUGAGUGGUACUUCAUUUAAAAUGUAGCUGACACUUCCCACCAAUACAGUUUUUUUUUUUAAAUAUGGUGGGCUGCAGUGAUGGCAGGUGACUUCUCUGAGGAGGCACGAAUGCAAAGCUAGCCAAAACAUUGUCAUGUGUGUGGCUCGUCACUUCAAAAUGUGUGUUUGGCGCGUCAUGUGAACCUGUGCAUAGCGUGUCAUGUCAAAAUACGUGCCUGCUCCAGACACUUUGAAGGGGAUUAUGAUAAAAGAGAUGCUCGCUUUUGCCAUACUAGCUUAAUCUCAUGUGUAAUCAGAGUUUAGUGUUAAAUGAGUGUCUUGCGGGUAUCAUGUGAAUGUCUCUUUUAUUCUUUAUCAUAUUCAAAGCGUUUGCGGGAGGCACGUAUUUUGACAUGAUGUGCA